rnacentral:rRNA from 1 species
UACAGAGGUCCCAAGCGUUGUUCGGAUUCACUGGGCGUAAAGGGUGCGUAGGUGGUGGGAUAAGUUUGGUGUGAAAUCUUCGAGCUCAACUCGGAAACGGCAUCAAAUACUAUCCGGCUUGAGGGUUGGAUGGGAGACUGGAAUUCUUGGUGUAGCAGUGAAAUGCGUAGAUAUCAAGAGGAACACCAGUGGCGAAGGCGAGUCUCUGGACAACUCCUGACACUGAGGCACGAAAGCUAGGGGAG